AGUAACCUGCCUUGGAGUGGGGAAUAACACAUCGAAAGAUGUGCUAAUACCGCAUAAUGCAGUUGGGCCGCAUGGCUCUGACUGCCAAAGAUUUAUCGCUCUGAGAUGGACUCGCGUCUGAUUAGCUGGUUGGCGGGGUAACGGCCCACCAAGGCGACGAUCGGUAGCCGGACUGAGAGGUUGACCGGCCACAUUGGGACUGAGACACGGCCCAGACUCCUACGGAAGGCAGCAG
rnacentral:rRNA from 1 species